UACGGAGGGAGCUAGCGUUAUUCGGAAUUACUGGGCGUAAAGCGCACGUAGGCGGCUUUGUAAGUUAGAGGUGAAAGCCUGGAGCUCAACUCCAGAAUUGCCUUUAAGACUGCAUCGCUUGAAUCCAGGAGAGGUGAGUGGAAUUCCGAGUGUAGAGGUGAAAUUCGUAGAUAUUCGGAAGAACACCGGUGGCGAAGGCGGCUCACUGGCCCGGUACUGACGCUGAGGUGCGAAAGCGUGGGGAGCAAACAGG
rnacentral:rRNA from 1 species